rnacentral:rRNA from 1 species
GACGAACGCUGGCGGUGUGCUUAACACAUGCAAGUCGAACGGUAAGGCCCUUUCGGGGUACACGAGUGGCGAACGGGUGAGUAACACGUGAGUAACCUGCCCUCAUCUCUGGGAUAACAGUCGGAAACGGUUGCUAAUACUGGAUAUGAGCUUGCAAGGCAUCUUGUGGGUUGGAAAGAUUUUUUUUGGUUGGGGAUGGACUCGCGGCCUAUCAGCUUGUUGGUGAGGUAGUGGCUCACCAAGGCUUCGACGGGUAGCCGGCCUGAGAGGGCGACCGGCCACAUUGGGACUGAGAUACGGCCCAAACUCCUACGGGAGGCAGCAGUGGGGAAUAUUGCACAAUGGACGGAAGUCUGAUGCAGCAACGCCGCGUGCGGGAUGACGGCCUUCGGGUUGUAAACCGCUUUCAAUUGUGACGAAGCUUUUUUGUGACGGUAGCAGUAGAAGAAGCACCGGCUAACUACGUG